rnacentral:rRNA from 1 species
UACGUAGGGGCAAGCGUUGUCCGGAAUUAUUGGGCGUAAAGAGCGCGUAGGCGGUUCCGAUAAGUCGGCUGUGAAAGUCCAGGCUCAACCCUGGAAAGCCGGCCGAUACUGUCGGACUAGAGUUCGGAAGAGGCGAGUGGAAUUCCCGGUGUAGCGGUGAAAUGCGCAGAUAUCAGGAGGAACACCGGUGGCGAAGGCGGGUCUCUGGGCCGAUACUGACGCUGAGGAGCGAAAGCGUGGGGAGCGAACAGG